rnacentral:rRNA from 1 species
AAUCAGCGCUGGCGGCGUGCCUCAGACAUGCAAGUCGAACGAUUAAAGCUCUCUUCGGAGAGUGUAUAGAGUGGCGCACGGGUGAGUAACACGUAAGUAAUCUACCCUCGAGUGGGGAAUAACGUCCGGAAACGGACGCUAAUACCGCAUAAUGCAGCGGCACCGCAAGGUGACAGUUGUUAAAGAUUUAUCGCUUGAGGAGGAGCUUGCGGCAGAUUAGCUAGUUGGUAAGGUAAUGGCUUACCAAGGCUACGAUCUGUAACCGGUCUUAGAGGACGGUCGGUCACACUGACACUGAAUAACGGGUCAGACUCCUACGGGAGGCAGCAGUCGGGUAAUUUUGGGCAAUGGGCGAAAGCCUGACCCAGCAACGCCGCG